ACAGUUCUGAAGAAAGCACUGAGGAAAGUGGAAUUCUACAAGAAAUUGUUGAAGAGGAUGGGAAAAUCACAGAUAUUGACUUUUUGCCAGUAAAUUGCAUUGAUAAUGGAGACAAAACCAAACUUGUUUAUCAUUGUAAAUCACACGAAGAAGCAUUGCAUUGUAUCAAAAAAUAUGAAUUAAGAACAACAACACGAUUUGUGGUGUAUUAUGCUAAUACAAAUUUUGGUA
rnacentral:lncRNA from 1 species